GGACGCAACUCUGGAGAGUGCCGUUUGGCCACCGAAGGGGAAACCUUUCUCGUUUAUGAUCCGUCUGAUGGAGACGAGAAAGGAAAGCUCUCAGGUAAAAGGACAGAGAAAGGUCU
rnacentral:ncRNA from 1 species